rnacentral:rRNA from 1 species
CAGUAGCCGCGGUAAUACGUAGGGUGCGAGCGUUAAUCGGAAUUACUGGGCGUAAAGCGUGCGCAGGCGGUUCGUUAAGACAGAUGUGAAAUCCCCGGGCUUAACCUGGGAACUGCAUUUGUGACUGGCAAGCUAGAGUCUGGCAGAGGGGGGUGGAAUUCCGCGUGUAGCAGUGAAAUGCGUAGAUAUGCGGAGGAACACCGAUGGCGAAGGCAGCCCCCUGGGCCAACACUGACGCUCAUGCACGAAAGCGUGGGGAGCAAACAGGAUUAGAUACCCCGGUAGUCCCUGUCUCUUAUAA